GAGUUUGAUCCUGGCUCAGGAUGAACGCUAGCGGCAGGCCUAAUACAUGCAAGUCGAACGGUCCUAGCAAUAGGAUAGUGGCGCACGGGUGCGUAACGCGUAACCAACCUGCCCGUGACUGGGGGAUAGCCCGCCGAAAGGCGGAUUAAUACCGCAUAAACCAGCAGCCCGGCAUCGGGCAACUGGUAAAGAUUUAUCGGUCACGGAUGGGGUUGCGUAGCAUUAGCUAGUUGGCGGGGUAACGGCCCACCAAGGCGACGAUGCUUAGGGGACCUGAGAGGGUGAUCCCCCACACUGGCACUGAGAUACGGGCCAGACUCCUACGGGAGGCAGCAGA
rnacentral:rRNA from 1 species